GUCCUUCCAUGCUCAGUCAGUAGAGCAUGAUACUCUUAAUCUCAGUGUCGUGGGUUUGAGCCCCAUGUUGGGCA